UCCUGCCAGUAGUCAUAUGCUUGUCUCAAAGAUUAAGCCAUGCAAGUCUAAGUAUAAUUGUUUUACGGUGAAACUGCGAAUGGCUCAUUAAAUCAGUUAUAGUUUAUUUGAUGCUAUAGACCGCAAGGUCACUACAUGGAUAUCUGUAGUAACAUAGAGCUAAUACAUGCAAUAUAGUCUGACUUUUUGGAAGGACUAGCACUUAUUAGAUAUUAAACCAGUCCCAGCAAUGGGUUUUAUGGUGAUUCAUAGUAACUGAACAAAUCACAUGGUCUCGUACCGGUGAUGUUUCACUCAAAUUUCUGCCCUAUCAACUAGAUGGUAGUAUAUAGGACUACCAUGGUUGUAACGGGUAACGGAGGAUUAGGGGUUUGAUUCCGGAGAAGGAGCAUGAGAAACGGCUACUAUUUCUAAGGAAAGCAGCAGGCG
rnacentral:rRNA from 1 species